AAAUAAUGAGAAAUUGGAAAAUUGGAAAAUUGGAUGACACAUGGAAAAUAGGAAAAUAUGAAUAAUGGAAAAAUGGAAACGAAUUGAGAUUGCUGAAAUGAGAAAUAAGACAAUAACCAUAUUGGUCAAUUUGAAUGAGUUGGUCAAUUAGGCAAAUAGGCAAAUCCCUUAUUUGAAUUAAAUAAUGGGAAAAUGACCAAGUUCGGAAGGUCCAACAUACAACUAUAUUACAAAAAGGCAUACAGUGAACUGGCUAAUAACUCCCGCCCAAUACUAUCCCGCCUAAGACUCCCGCCAAUCCCUCCAGCCAAUUACUCCCCCUAAUCCUCCCGCCAAUAACUCUCUGAGUUACUCCAGGUCAUUAAAACCUGCCUAUAUUAAUCAACCCAGCUAUUUGAAAUGAAAACUUCCAUCACAUUAACUCCUGCUUGCAGCCAUUAUCUUCCCCACUGAUUUCACUCACAUCGCAUUUAGUCCCCCUUUUUUCCAAUUAAGUUGUACACCAGGCUACAAUAAAUAUCGAAGACCAUGGACCAUAACCUCACACCAAACCCAACGCUUUCAAUUACUGAAGGAGGGGAGACUGAAACACAAGCCAAGUCACCUAAUUCACU
rnacentral:lncRNA from 1 species